GAUGAACGCUGGCGGCGUGCCUAAUACAUGCAAGUCGAGCGAACAGAUGAGAAGCUUGCUUCUCUGAUGUUAGCGGCGGACGGGUGAGUAACACGUGGGUAACCUACCUAUAAGACUGGGAUAACUCCGGGAAACCGGGGCUAAUACCGGAUAACAUUUUGAACCGCAUGGUUCAAUAGUGAAAGACGGUUUCGGCUGUCACUUAUAGAUGGACCCGCGCCGUAUUAGCUAGUUGGUAAGGUAACGGCUUACCAAGGCGACGAUACGUAGCCGACCUAAGAGGGUGAUCGGCCAGACUGGAACUGAGACACGGUCCAGACUCCUACGGGAGGCAGCAGUAGGGAAUCUUCCGCAAUGGGCGAAAGCCUGACGGAGCAACGCCGCGUGAGUGAUGAAGGUCUUCGGAUCGUAAAACUCUGUUGUUAGGGAAGAACAAAUUUGUUAGUAACUGAACAAGUCUUGACGGUACCUAACCAGAAAGCCACGGCUAACUACGUGCCAGCCGCCGCGGUAA
rnacentral:rRNA from 1 species